GUGACUUUGCUGAGCCUUCUGGGCUGUGGUUUAUGCAAGAACCUUCCAAGGACCCGGUUGAGUCACCGGCUGUGAUCAGGCAGCAUCUCCCCGCCUGCAGACCAAGAGCCAGGCAUGAGACGGCAGGAGCGCCGACCUGCAGGUCUGUCUGCAGCAGGACGCACGGCGGCUGACUCAGCGGAGACUUGCCCGGAACCUGGCUGCCAGGUUUCCCACUGCCAACGCUGAGCCGUCCCGAGGAGGAGCAGAGCAGAAGCCUCCAGCAAAGAAUAAAACAACAAGGCCUCUACCAUGCCGCCCCUUCUGCCACCAUCGAUUCCACCAGGACAAAGCUAAGAUGUCAUGAGUUCAGAGAGCUCGAAGUGUCGUCAGAAGGAGGCUGCACCCACAGCAGGCAGAAGUUCCUGGGCCAAGAAUCGAACCCACACCACAGCAGCGACCCUAGCCACUGUUGUGACAAUGCCGAAUCCCUAGCCUGCUGGACCACACGGGAACCCCCGAACUGAGAUUUCCUCAUUCAACGCCCUUCCUGUGACACGGCCUCGCUUAAGGAUGCUGUGUUUGUGUCUCUCAGCUCACUCACUAGAUCCUGGGAAGCGAGACUCCUUUCUAAUUUCCCCUCUGUUUCCCUUGCCCCUGUCAGAGGGGCACGGCCAUGGCAAGGAGCUGAAGAAAGAGCCAGGAGGCAUAGCUGGCACUUACUGAGUGCUCUCUCAGGACCCUGCAUUGUUCCAAGUCUUUCUUAAGUAUGUGAACACCCCUAAGAGACGGGUGCCAUCGUGACGCCUUUUCACAGAUGCGGAGAGAGGACAUUCUCAGAAUGCCCCGGGGGAUACGUGCUCUUCAAACUUUCAACAUGGUGAAGGCCUGGGAGGUGGUGGACCGCGACAAGAACGCUGGGAGUGUGACCAGCACAGGCCCGGAGGCGCCCAGGGCCUCAUCUCUCCGCGUCUGAGCUCCCGGUUUCAUGCUCAGCCAAGGAAUUCGAGCUUCACUUUUAGCGUCAGGGAGAAAACUAAAGAUUGGCUGUAUAAAAGCGUGCCAUUCUCUAAGAGGCUUGCCAUGUUUUCAAGACCUCUUGAGUCGUCGUGACUUCUGCCUCUUGACUUCGAUUUGACUCCGCAAGCAAUAAAACAGUAAAAGCACCUCAUUUCCUGCUCUCCAUGUACUGCAUUAAGGAGGUAUUUCUCCACCAGAGCUGCAGCUCCGAGGACCCUUCUGCCCGCCCGGCCGGGCUGCUCAGCUGGGUCCUCUCUCCAGACUUUCUUGAGGAAGCAGAGAAGCAUCUCAAACCCCAGCUUUUUGGUUCAUUUCUAUGCCAAACAUCUGGGGCUUGAAAAAGAACUGUGCAUGGAGAUAAAGUCACCACCGACUCUGUGGAAAGGAGCAUUAGGCAAAAAAGAAGUCGGACACAUUAAUUAAAAUGGAAGACUAAAUGAGCUGCAGAAAAGGUCGUGAGCCAGGGUCCCCGUGUGGGAUCCCAUCCCCUUCGGGUUAAUUCUCUCAUCCUUCGGGUUCUUGCUUUUGACCUGCUGAAUUUGCAGACUUAGGAAACAGGACAUACAUGCAAACAAGUUCCGGCAAGCAACAGCUCGCAAACAAGAUGUUGCAGUGAAGGCUCAGAGAGGUCGAGGGACUCACCCACAGCCACACACAGCUCAGACGUGGCCAACAGGGCUGGAACUCAGUUUUCCAGCCCAUCUCAUUCUCUUGCCCCACAGGGCCUCUCAGGGCACAAGUCACUGCCUGACAAUCCAGAUUUAUGUGGACAUGCCUUGCAUUUCUUCAGGGAGCCUCAGCCAGGCCUUCCCUCUUCUGUGAGGUCAGGGGUGUGGCACCUCUUGCAUGUGUGCCCAGGAGCUUACGGAGAAACGUGUCCGGCCACUUUCCCGAGGCUUGACAGAUUUUCCCACAAUGGCGUGAAUGGACAAGAAAAUGCAGCUUUGCUUGACGGCCCCACCCCAGUGCCCCUCUCCUGACUCACAAGUCACCUGGGGUGCCAGCCCAGGAGACCCGGGUCACUGCCACGCCUCGAUGAAAACCUGCUCCCCGUGAGCCUGGCUAACACCCCAGUUAUUCGGCAUUGCUGAGGGGUCACGGACAGUUUAGCUGUUAAAGGUCUGGGUGAUGGGCUGGGGUCAGGGACACGGGCAUGCUGGGCCUUAGGGACCACCAUCCUGAAACAGGGACUGUAAAUCCUGUGCUCACGGUUUGGGGGAGACUAACAGGAGGUGAUCUUCAAUGUGCCGUGUGGAUUCGGGGGACACAACGGUCGGUCCACAGCAGCUGUGUGACACCUGCAGAGCAGCAGUGGGCCUCGCAAGCCCAGGCUGCACAGGAUGAGGGCUGAUCCUGUGGCAACCCGUACUCCAUCCCCCGCACGCCACGCGGCUUGCCCGCAGUGUCCAAGGUCAGGGAAUCGGUCAUGACCGUGAUUCAGCAGGAAGCAGACAAGAGAGCAGAGCCGAAAGGCCUGAGUUCUCCUCUCAGCUCUGACACUAACACUACUGGACUUAAUAGCAUUUGUCGUCCAGACCCAGGGCGUCACACGCGAGGAGUCACAGGCAGGGAAAGGAAAGCUGCGGUGCUGCAAUCAGUUCCGGCUGAGGCCAUGUUCGCGGGGGUGGAUCCAACAGUUUUACCAUCUGCUCUAAAAGGCCAGCACCUGCCAAGGGGAAACUCCUCCUCUCCAGGCCCUGCCUCCUGAGGUGCUGACAUUCCUAACCCCUUCGGACGUCAGAAGGUGGCCACUCCAGAGCUUAAGCGACUUCACGAGGCCUCAUGGUUAGAAACUUCCAGAGCUGGCAUUUGAUGCCAGGUCUGCUGGAUUCUAAAACACGCCCUCUUCUCACCUAAGACCUUACAGAGACCUGUCCCCAAGAAGCUGGACUUGGUCUGCCACUCACUGCUGUUAUAGAAGAAGGACGGAGAGGUGGUUGCCUGUGUGGGCCAUUGCACUGGGAGGGGACAGGGCACAGAAGCUGAGGACUCAGAAGGGAAGUUCUGUCAAGGUAGUGACCCGCCUGUUCAGUUGGAAGGUGCAAGCUUCAUUUUUGGUCUGUGCCCACUCUGCUUUGCGUCUGUUGCCAUGGUUACUUCUAGUAGGGGAUAAAGGAGUCUGGCCACUGUCCGGCUGCUGGGCUGUCCUGAGGUCAUUUUACACCCAGUGUUUUCUCUGUCUUUAUUUUUUUUUUAGCCACACACGUGGCUUAUGGAAGUCUCCAGGACCAGGGAUGAAAUCCCAGUUCAGCUGCAGCCUACACCACAACUGCAGCAAUGCUGGAUCCUUAACCCACGGCACCACAGUGGGAACUCCUACAUUUUCUCUAUCCUUGAAUCGCAGCAAACUUGAACCUUCAGAAUGGCAAUGUCAAGUGUAGACAACGCAUGCUGAACUCCUUCCUGACUUGGGCAAAUAAGGGGGAUCCGAUCAUUUCACAGCAAGGCGGCCUCUGGUCAGCUCUCAUUAAUACCAUUCUCUCAGGGAGGUUUCCUCUGCCAGCAAUGCCCGUCCCCUUUAUAGGAAAAGACUCAGCAGUGGGCUAUAAGGAAAACUCUGACUGAUCAUUAUGCAAAGAUGACUAUUUCUUCACGACACGCAUGUCCCGGAGAGGAGACGGCAGCAGCCUCUCCUGGCGAGGCAGGAAGCAGGCCGCUGCAACCCUGCCUAAUUUCUGUCUGUCGUCUUUGAGGGUAGCUGGCUGGGGUAGGAUGGCCACGUCCGGGCAUAUGCCAUGAAUAGUCUUAGCUGCGGGCAUCGGACCGAGGAUGAGGGCGGUGCCUGUGUGCGCUGUUUGGGACUCAAAGUGUUUCUGCAUCUGUGCAUUUCAGGAGCCCACUAGAAACUUAUUUUCCCUGUGUUGCAAAGAAGAAGUCACGGGGUCGCCGGUAAGUGAGUGCAGCUGAUGCACGCCGCCCGCCUCGGCGCCAGCUCCUGCGCUCCUCAUUUCCAGUCCUAAGGACGACUCGGCGCCUUGGCUAUUUAUUGCCAUCCCCAGCCUUACCCCUGAGGACGCCAAAGCAGAAGAAGGUGAGGAGGCAGCGGCACUGUGGCACUGGAACCCUAUCUACCUGCCAGGGUGUUUUCCUGUGUGGGCGGCGCUGAAGGCUGCACGGUCUCAGGGUUCUCGGGGGACAGGCUUCUGCCUCAGAGAAGCUGAGCAUCUUGGCCAAAGUGACAAAGCCAGCAGUGGACCUUGGUGGGACACCCGUCCUUAGGCUCUGGGGCAUUUUAUUUGCUGCCGAGAUGUCCCUAAAGAAUAGUUCCCUGGGAUGGGUCACAAAAAUCAAUUGAAUGGAAGAAAGUUGCUAAAAGGAAGGAGACGCGCCAGGAAAGUUUUUAUCCAAGGGAUUUGGGACAAAAACAACGGCCUCCAAGAAAAAAGUGGAUGAGGUCUUGUUUCCUAUGGGUCUGGGUACCAGGAAAAUAUUCACAUGGGUGCUUUAUUUACACCAGCAGCCGCCGCCUGCUGGGAACUUGCGGCUUAGAUAAGAGAAGAUUCAGGGCUUCUGAACCCUCCCGGGCUACACAGGUGCAUGUGGGAGGGAUUUAAACUCAAUUUUUCAUCACAAACACUCACUGAAUCAGGUUACUUUUUUUUUUUUUUCUUUUUAGGCUGCACCCAUGGCAUAUGGAGGUUCCCAGCCUAGGGUUCGAACUGGAGCUGCACCUGCCGGCCUACACCACAGCCACAGUAACAUCAGAUCCGAGCUGCAUCUGCAACUUAUACCACAGCUCAUGGCAACGCCAGACCCUUAACCCACUGAGCAAGAGGCCAGGGAUGGAACCCGCAACUUCACAGUUCCUAGUCAGAUUCAUUUCCACUGUACCAGGAUGGGAACUCCGAAUCAGGUUACUUUUAACUGGAAAAAUACUGCAUUCAUCUGGCAAUGCCUGCCUACAGUGAAUACAAAUACGCAGUGAGCAGUGAGAGCUGAAUCACCCAUUGACCUUGAAGGAAAAGACGGCCCCUCUGACUGCAAGCAGCAAAACCGACCUGGAGUGUCAGACUCAGAAGCGCAUUGUGAGAAAGGAGGUGUGGGAUCUGUAUACGGUUUAGCUAGUCACCCGGGGACACCCAGUUGAUUCCUCCUGUGCCAAAGACUCACAUCCAGAAUUAAAAAGGCUUUGUUCAGAAGU
rnacentral:lncRNA from 1 species